UUCGGGUCGUAAAACUCUGUCCUCAAGGAAGAUAAUGACGGUACUUGAGGAGGAAGCCCCGGCUAACUACGUGCCAGCAGCCGCGGUAAUACGUAGGGGGCUAGCGUUAUCCGGAUUUACUGGGCGUAAAGGGUGCGUAGGCGGUCUUUCAAGUCAGGAGUGAAAGGCUACGGCUCAACCGUAGUAAGCUCUUGAAACUGGGAGACUUGAGUGCAGGAGAGGAGAGUGGAAUUC
rnacentral:rRNA from 1 species